UACGUAGGGUGCAAGCGUUAAUCGGAAUUACUGGGCGUAAAGCGUGCGCAGGCGGUUUUGUAAGUCUGAUGUGAAAGCCCCGGGCUCAACCUGGGAACUGCAUUGGAAACUAACGGGCUCGAGUGCGGCAGAGGGGGGUGGAAUUCCACGUGUAGCAGUGAAAUGCGUAGAGAUGUGGAGGAACACCGAUGGCGAAGGCAGCCCCCUGGGCUAACACUGACGCUCAGGCACGAAAGCGUGGGGAGCAAACAGG
rnacentral:rRNA from 1 species